CCCCCUACAUAUAAAAUCCACAACCAAAAGAAACGUUUCGAUCCUUCAACCCCUUCCUACCUUCCUCUCUGCUCCAACUCUUCCUUCAAUCACAAACCCAGAAUCUCUCUCUCUCUCUCUCUCGUGUCAAAGUUUGCCGCAAUGGCAGAGAAGAGGGAAGAGAGAGAGAGAUGAACGUCUACCCGGACGGAAUAUUAGAGUCCAUGCCUGUGUUCGUCAAGGAGCUGAUCGCCGGCGGGGUUGCAAAAAAAGUGGUUGCGCCACUCGAACGUAUCAAGAUUUUGUUUCAGACCAGAAGAACAGAAUACCAGAGCAUCGGACUUUUUGGAUCCAUUAAGAAAACUGCAAAGACAGAAGGGCCUAUGGGUUUCUACAGAUGGAUACUUGAGUAACGAGUCAUUUAUGUGAAGGUUGUUUUCAUGCUUUCAAUCAACUACGAGUUUUUCUACAGGGGAAAUGGAGCUUGUGUUGCAAGAAUUGUUCCAUAUGCAGCCCUGCAUUAUAUGACUUAUGAGCAAUACCGCAGAUGGAUUAUUCUCGCCUUUCCUGAAGUGGGGCGGGGACCUGGUCUUGAUCUUGUGGCAGGAUCUUUUGCUGGAGGAACAGCUGCGCUUUUUACUUAUCCAUUUGAUUUAGUUCGGAUGAAGUUGGCUUAUCAGGUAACUAAUUGAAUCCUGACAAACCUCUCGCAAGUGCAGCAGUUGAUUGUUCUCAAACCCCAAAAUACGUUCUUUGAGUACAGCCACAGCUUACAUUUCUGAAGUCCUACACAAUGAUUGGGAAUUUUUCCUUCCCUUCUGAAUCGUCAAUUAGGUUUACUUGUUGUACCACUCAUACCCUUUUCAGCUGUACAUUUCAUUCUUUGAAGCUGAAUAAUAGUCCAUCUGUAGGAGAAA